UGCAGAUGAUGGUGAUCUCUGGCACGGCGCGCGGCGCUGGAGAGCGGGUCAUGAUCGCGCGAGACGACGGUGGAGAGCGAAGGGGAUCUAGCGAAGAA